ensembl:snRNA U6 U6 spliceosomal RNA
GUGCUCGCUUAAGCAGCACACAUACCAAAAUCGGAAUGACACAGAGAAGAUUAGCAUGGCCCUGAGCAAGGAUGACUCACAAAUUUGUGAACCAUUCUAUAAAACA